AUAUAAGUCAGCGACUAGAUGUCACCGUACAAGUUAUUUUUCACAAAAAAAAUAUUGUAACAGUCUUUGAAAUUGUCAGUCUAGUAUUUCAGUGGGAAAACCUCGACUGACCAAAUGUAUGAUAUGAAAAUAUGGUUGAAAUAAAUAUGAGUUUAGAAUAUUUACCCUUCUGACAUAAUUAUGCAAAAUAAAUUUUAAAUGCUAAUUUGUUAUUAAAAUGUUAUUAAAAUGUGCUAUUAUCUUGAUUGAUAUGGAAUAAUUAAAUUUACAGCAGGAAAAAGGACAAAAAAUUGUUUUAUCUGAUCUUCCUUGGUAAUCAUUUAGAUUAUUUUUACAGGUAUGGGCAUACAUUUUUAUUUUCAAUAAAGGACAUACUUGUUUUCCAAGAUGCCUAUAGGCUAUACACAUUCAUCUUAGAAAGCUUUGCAUGAGCAGUAGCCCAUUUUGUCCAGUUCAGUACCAGGCUACUAUUGACAAACUUGCGUAAAUAUUCUUCUUAGUUUUUCUUACUUUGUAGGUAUUGCUUUAUUUUGAUUGUCUCUCAUAAAAAUAAUCAAGCACAACCAUUCGAUGCGAUAUUAAUUGGGGGGGGGGGGGUAUUUUUCCACGUAUAUGAUUAUUUUAAGUACAACACGUUAGGACAUCGUUCGUCAUAACUCGGUCGAUUCCGUACCUCAUAGAAGGUAGAAUAGCGGAGUAUUCUCCGAGGAUUGCCGAUUGGUUAGGACAUACUUCUAAAAUAACUCUGAUUAUCUCCCCUUUAAUAUUGUCAAUAGUACUGUGAAGUGUUUUGAUUGUCUAUCUUAUAUGAACUAUCAAAAACAAAAACAUAUCAAGAAAAAUAGCACCUUUCUAAUCAAAACAAAAUUUACAUAUUUAGAUACAAACGAAUUCACUGAAGAUGAAUACAACUUCCAAUCACAAAUUAGAAGAAAUUGCAUACAACUUCCAAACACAAAAUCUAUUUACAGUAUGCAUACCCUGUUCUAUAAAUAAAAUACUCCAAAUAAUAUAUAUACCAGCUUGUCAAAUGUUUCAUAUGAAAUACAUAUAGACCUAUCAAAAUUUAUUUUCAUAAUUGUCAAUUUUUCAAUAUCUGCACUGUUCAUUACCUAAAUGCUUUUGAUGUAGCUAUCACUAAAUUCUUAAAAUUCUAUAAAUCAGACUCGGAAAAGAAUUCCAAUAAAAUCAAAGAAAGUGGGUCGG
rnacentral:lncRNA from 1 species